rnacentral:rRNA from 1 species
AACGAACGCUGGCGGCAGGCUUAACACAUGCAAGUCGAACGAUCUCUUCGGAGAUAGUGGCAGACGGGUGAGUAACGCGUGGGAACCUACCUUAUUCUACGGAAUAACACAGAGAAAUUUGUGCUAAUACCGUAUACGCCCUUUGGGGGAAAGAUUUAUCGGAGUAAGAUGGGCCCGCGUUGGAUUAGCUAGUUGGUGGGGUAAUGGCCUACAAGGCGACGAUCUAUAGCUGGUCUGAGAGGAUGAUCAGCACACUGGACCAGCACGGCCCAGACUCCUACGGAGCAGCAGUGGGAAUUGGACAAUGGGCCAAGCCUGAUCCAGCCAUGCCGC